rnacentral:sRNA from 1 species
AUUCUGCCCAAGCGGGGAAGGAUGAGAAGCUUCGUCUAAGGUUCGACUCGAGCGCCAGCGAGAGAGCGUUGCCGCAGGCAACGACCCGAAGGGCGAAGCGCGCAGCGCUGAGUAAUCCUUCCCCCACCACCA